ACAUAAGACUUUGACAGUUGGCGGGAAACCAUCAUCAACUGGAGAGAUGCCGGAAGAGGAAUGUCUGCGACUAAGUCAAGGGCCACUGGAUAAGGGUUGUUGAUGGCAAACAGGUUGGAGACUACAUAAGACUUUGACAGUUGGCGGGAAACCAUCAUCAACUGGAGAGAUGCCGGAAGAGGAAUGUCUGCGACUAAGUCAAGGGCCACUGGAUAAGGGUUGUUGAUGGCAAAACAGGUUGGAGACUACAUAAGACUUUGACAGUUGGCGGGAAACCAUCAUCAACUGGAGAGAUGCCGGUAAAAAGAUGGCCAUAAAACAGUGACCGCUGAUUCGCAUUGAGUUCUUUCUUACAUAUUGGAUGACCUAUGUUUUUUAUUGUUUAAAUCAUUGCGGCUUGGAAUGCUCUUUAAGAAAAGGAAGAGGAAUGUCUGCGACUAAGUCAAGGGCCACUGGAUAAGGGUUGUUGAUGGCAAAACAGGUUGGAGACUACAUAAGACUUUGACAGUUGGCGGGAAACCAUCAUCAACUGGAGAGAUGCCGGAAGAGGAAUGUCUGCGACUAAGUCAAGGGCCACUGGAUAAGGGUUGUUGAUGGCAAAACAGGUUGGAGACUACAUAAGACUUUGACAGUUGGCGGGAAACCAUCAUCAACUGGAGAGAUGCCGGUAAAAAGAUGGCCAUAAAACAGUGACCGCUGAUUCGCAUUGAGUUCUUUCUUACAUAUUGGAUGACCUAUGUUUUUUAUUGUUUAAAUCAUUGCGGCUUGGAAUGCUCUUUAAGAAAAGGUAUGGUUAUGGGGGUGUCUACGCGCAAAAGUUUGACUUUAUUUUUUGUUAAAGUUAUUGCUUUUACAUUGAAUUUGUGCAGGAAAUCUUUUGGUAUGUUGUGACCUAA